GGUUAAGCGACUAAGCGUACACGGUGGAUGCCCUGGCAGUCAGAGGCGAUGAAGGACGUGCUAAUCUGCGAUAAGCGCCGGUAAGGUGAUAUGAACCGUUAUAACCGGCGAUUUCCGAAUGGGGAAACCCAGUGUGAUUCGUCACACUAUCAUUAACUGAAUCCAUAGGUUAAUGAGGCGAACCGGGGGAACUGAAACAUCUAAGUACCCCGAGGAAAAGAAAUCAACCGAGAUUCCCCCAGUAGCGGCGAGCGAACGGGGAGGAGCCCAGAGCCUGAAUCAGCAUGUGUGUUAGUGGAAGCGUCUGGAAAGGCGCGCGAUACAGGGUGACAGCCCCGUACACAAAAGCGCAUGUGCUGUGAGCUCGAUGAGUAGGGCGGGACACGUGGUAUCCUGUCUGAAUAUGGGGGGACCAUCCUCCAAGGCUAAAUACUCCUGACUGACCGAUAGUGAACCAGUACCGUGAGGGAAAGGCGAAAAGAACCCCGGCGAGGGGAGUGAAAAAGAACCUGAAACCGUGUACGUACAAGCAGUGGGAGCACAGGUUUACCUGUGUGACUGCGUACCUUUUGUAUAAUGGGUCAGCGACUUAUAUUCUGUAGCAAGGUUAACCGUAUAGGGGAGCCGGAGGGAAACCGAGUCUUAAUUGGGCGUUAAGUUGCAGGGUAUAGACCCGAAACCCGGUGAUCUAGCCAUGGGCAGGUUGAAGGUUGGGUAACACUAACUGGAGGACCGAACCGACUAAUGUUGAAAAAUUAGCGGAUGACCUGUGGCUGGGGGUGAAAGGCCAAUCAAACCGGGAGAUAGCUGGUUCUCCCCGAAAGCUAUUUAGGUAGCGCCUCGUGAAUUCAUCUCCGGGGGUAGAGCACUGUUUCGGCUAGGGGGCCAUCCCGGCUUACCAACCCGAUGCAAACUGCGAAUACCGGAGAAUGUUAUCACGGGAGACACACGGCGGGUGCUAACGUCCGUCGUGAAGAGGGAAACAACCCAGACCGCCAGCUAAGGUCCCAAAGUCAUGGUUAAGUGGGAAACGAUGUGGGAAGGCCCAGACAGCCAGGAUGUUGGCUUAGAAGCAGCCAUCAUUUAAAGAAAGCGUAAUAGCUCACUGGUCGAGUCGGCCUGCGCGGAAGAUGUAACGGGGCUAAACCAUGCACCGAAGCUGCGGCAGCGAACGUAUCACCCAAGACAACUUUACGGAGUUGACGAUUGACGGAGCGAAGCGACGUCAAAGCGUUCAUUAAAGUCGAGUUGGCUUAGGGAUACGUUCGUUGGGUAGGGGAGCGUUCUGUAAGCCUGUGAAGGUGUGUCGUGAGGCAUGCUGGAGGUAUCAGAAGUGCGAAUGCUGACAUAAGUAACGAUAAAGCGGGUGAAAAGCCCGCUCGCCGGAAGACCAAGGGUUCCUGUCCAACGUUAAUCGGGGCAGGGUGAGUCGACCCCUAAGGCGAGGCCGAAAGGCGUAGUCGAUGGGAAACGGGUUAAUAUUCCCGUACUUGGUGUUACUGCGAAGGGGGGACGGAGAAGGCUAUGUUGGCCGGGCGACGGUUGUCCCGGUUUAAGCGUGUAGGUGUGUGUUCCAGGUAAAUCCGGUUCACUUUAACACUGAGGCGUGACGACGAGGCACUACGGUGCUGAAGCAACAAAUGCCCUGCUUCCAGGAAAAGCCUCUAAGCAUCAGGUAACACGAAAUCGUACCCCAAACCGACACAGGUGGUCAGGUAGAGAAUACCAAGGCGCUUGAGAGAACUCGGGUGAAGGAACUAGGCAAAAUGGUGCCGUAACUUCGGGAGAAGGCACGCUGACACGUAGGUGAAGUGAUUUACUCAUGGAGCUGAAGUCAGUCGAAGAUACCAGCUGGCUGCAACUGUUUAUUAAAAACACAGCACUGUGCAAACACGAAAGUGGACGUAUACGGUGUGACGCCUGCCCGGUGCCGGAAGGUUAAUUGAUGGGGUCAGCGUAAGCGAAGCUCCUGAUCGAAGCCCCGGUAAACGGCGGCCGUAACUAUAACGGUCCUAAGGUAGCGAAAUUCCUUGUCGGGUAAGUUCCGACCUGCACGAAUGGCGUAAUGAUGGCCAGGCUGUCUCCACCCGAGACUCAGUGAAAUUGAACUCGCUGUGAAGAUGCAGUGUACCCGCGGCAAGACGGAAAGACCCCGUGAACCUUUACUAUAGCUUGACACUGAACAUUGAGCCUUGAUGUGUAGGAUAGGUGGGAGGCUUUGAAGUGUGGACGCCAGUUUGCAUGGAGCCGACCUUGAAAUACCACCCUUUAAUGUUUGAUGUUCUAACGUGGACCCGUAAUCCGGGUUGCGGACAGUGUCUGGUGGGUAGUUUGACUGGGGCGGUCUCCUCCUAAAGAGUAACGGAGGAGCACGAAGGUUGGCUAAUCCUGGUCGGACAUCAGGAGGUUAGUGCAAUGGCAUAAGCCAGCUUGACUGCGAGCGUGACGGCGCGAGCAGGUGCGAAAGCAGGUCAUAGUGAUCCGGUGGUUCUGAAUGGAAGGGCCAUCGCUCAACGGAUAAAAGGUACUCCGGGGAUAACAGGCUGAUACCGCCCAAGAGUUCAUAUCGACGGCGGUGUUUGGCACCUCGAUGUCGGCUCAUCACAUCCUGGGGCUGAAGUAGGUCCCAAGGGUAUGGCUGUUCGCCAUUUAAAGUGGUACGCGAGCUGGGUUUAGAACGUCGUGAGACAGUUCGGUCCCUAUCUGCCGUGGGCGCUGGAGAACUGAGGGGGGCUGCUCCUAGUACGAGAGGACCGGAGUGGACGCAUCACUGGUGUUCGGGUUGUCAUGCCAAUGGCACUGCCCGGUAGCUAAAUGCGGAAGAGAUAAGUGCUGAAAGCAUCUAAGCACGAAACUUGCCCCGAGAUGAGUUCUCCCUGAGACUUAGAGUCUCCUGAAGGAACGUUGAAGACGACGACGUUGAUAGGCCGGGUGUGUAAGCGCAGCGAUGCGUUGAGCUAACCGGUACUAAUGAACCGUGAGGCUUAACCUU
rnacentral:rRNA from 1 species